rnacentral:tRNA from 1 species
CGCAGGGUGGUGAAACGGUAUCACGCAGGGUUCCUGUCCCUGAAUUGAAAGUCCAAUUCUUUCCCCUGUAACCA